AAGGCUAUGUUGGCCGGGCGACGGUUGUCCCGGUUUAAGCGUGUAGGCUGGUUUUCCAGGCAAAUCCGGAAAAUCAAGGCUGAGGCGUGAUGACGAGGCACUACGGUGCUGAAGCAACAAAUGCCCUGCUUCCAGGAAAAGCCUCUAAGCAUCAGGUAACAUCAAAUCGUACCCCAAACCGACACAGGUGGUCAGGUAGAGAAUACCAAGGCGCUUGAGAGAACUCGGGUGAAGGAACUAGGCAAAAUGGUGCCGUAACUUCGGGAGAAGGCACGCUGAUAUGUAGGUGAAGUCCCUCGCGGAUGGAGCUGAAAUCAGUCGAAGAUACCAGCUGGCUGCAACUGUUUAUUAAAAACACAGCACUGUGCAAACACGAAAGUGGACGUAUACGGUGUGACGCCUGCCCGGUGCCGGAAGGUUAAUUGAUGGGGUCAGCGCAAGCGAAGCUCUUGAUCGAAGCCCCGGUAAACGGCGGCCGUAACUAUAACGGUCCUAAGGUAGCGAAAUUCCUUGUCGGGUAAGUUCCGACCUGCACGAAUGGCGUAAUGAUGGCCAGGCUGUCUCCACCCGAGACUCAGUGAAAUUGAACUCGCUGUGAAGAUGCAGUGUACCCGCGGCAAGACGGAAAGACCCCGUGAACCUUUACUAUAGCUUGACACUGAACAUUGAGCCUUGAUGUGUAGGAUAGGUGGGAGGCUUUGAAGUGUGGACGCCAGUCUGCAUGGAGCCGACCUUGAAAUACCACCCUUUAAUGUUUGAUGUUCUAACGUGGACCCGUGAUCCGGGUUGCGGACAGUGUCUGGUGGGUAGUUUGACUGGGGCGGUCUCCUCCUAAAGAGUAACGGAGGAGCACGAAGGUUGGCUAAUCCUGGUCGGACAUCAGGAGGUUAGUGCAAUGGCAUAAGCCAGCUUGACUGCGAGCGUGACGGCGCGAGCAGGUGCGAAAGCAGGUCAUAGUGAUCCGGUGGUUCUGAAUGGAAGGGCCAUCGCUCAACGGAUAAAAGGUACUCCGGGGAUAACAGGCUGAUACCGCCCAAGAGUUCAUAUCGACGGCGGUGUUUGGCACCUCGAUGUCGGCUCAUCACAUCCUGGGGCUGAAGUAGGUCCCAAGGGUAUGGCUGUUCGCCAUUUAAAGUGGUACGCGAGCUGGGUUUAGAACGUCGUGAGACAGUUCGGUCCCUAUCUGCCGUGGGCGCUGGAGAACUGAGGGGGGCUGCUCCUAGUACGAGAGGACCGGAGUGGACGCAUCACUGGUGUUCGGGUUGUCAUGCCAAUGGCACUGCCCGGUAGCUAAAUGCGGAAGAGAUAAGUGCUGAAAGCAUCUAAGCACGAAACUUGCCCCGAGAUGAGUUCUCCCUGACCCUUUAAGGGUCCUGAAGGAACGUUGAAGACGACGACGUUGAUAGGCCGGGUGUGUAAGCGCAGCGAUGCGUUGAGCUAACCGGUACUAAUGAACCGUGAGGCUUAACCUUACAACGCCGAAGGUGUUU
rnacentral:rRNA from 1 species